AAAGACCUUCAAUUGGUCUCUGAACAAUUGGUUUUUAAUUAUUAUUUUUUUCUUCCGUCAACAUUUGUUUUCCUUCGCUGAUUUUGUUUCGUAAGAUGUCGCUUAGACAUAUGGUAUGUGAUAACGAACAGUUUAUACGCUUUUGAAAAUGACACCGCAUAACCUAAAUCUUUUCCAUGUAAGAGUUACCUCCCCAAACACUAUUUUUCUUGUUAUUACUUAUACGUCCAACCCGUAUUCCAAACCGAAAAAAAUAUUUUACCAAAUU
rnacentral:lncRNA from 1 species